ACAACCAAUCAACGGCAUUUAGGCAGAGAACGUAAAUUUAGGCAGAGAAUGUUGAUGAAUUCAUAAAAAAUUCAUCAACAUUCUCUGAUUUAGAUAAUACCGGUUUAACACUUUGUAAGCUGUUAGAAUUCGAUUUAACAGGAUAAGAAACAAUAUACCAUACCAACGUCAACGUGGGUGUGGCAGGAACGAAAACGGACGAAGGGAUAUACAGCAGCAUAAAACAGAACACACGACGUAUAAUAUGAUACCGACGACGAUGUGGCGAAAUGGCGUUAACAAUAUAAAUGUAGACCGCUUAUUUUUUUAUGUUUUCUUGAUUUUUUUUGUUAUUAUCGUUGCUAAAAUAGUGAAUUACGAUAGAGACUUAAGAUAUAUAAUGAUUAUAUGUAGAGAAAACUUCUAUUGUUUAAUAUGGCGAUUUUAACACAAAAUAAAUUUAUAAUUGUAAUUAGAAAUGACUUUGUAAUAGGCGUAUUUUCAUAGAUAUCACUUUUCAUUGAUAUUGUCUCCAGACUUUUGUGUUUAUAACACAAAUUAUAAUUUUAAAAAAAUCGACACAUAAUUUUUUUGUCAUGCACUUUAGUUCAUUUUUUCAUUAUUUACAUUAUUAUUAUUUUUUUCACAGUUUUUUUCGCACUACAUCUUUUUUAUGCCUUUUAAAAUCACAAUUAUUAGCCAGAGUUCAAGAGGAACAUACAUAUACUUCUUUUCAUCAUAUCUACAAAUUGAUUUAAAACCUCACAAUUUCACGCUUACAAACUAUGAUUUGUACUAGAAUAAAAUGUUCUGAAAGAGUCAAAAAGAGUGUUCGCUGAUCGAUUAACAAAUUGAGUUUCUAAAAAGCAAUCAUUGCACACGCUCCACUUAGUACACUUCGUAUUUUCCGCACUUACCACAAAUUUAGCGUAGCCCGACUAGUCCAUUAUUUAUGGAUUACAGUCAUAGCUGGCUAACUUGCAUCGAGUAUUGGUCUAUUCAAUAUUCUUAAUGUACAUUUGUUGUACAGAAAAUGUCAACAAUUCAAAAAUAAAUCAAAGUAAAAGUACAUUAUUUACCAGUAAAAAUAUAUAAAAAAUAAAACAUAUUUCAACACACACCGAGUAUUUAAGCAUACGAUCAUACUAUUUGUUCAUACUUGUCCUUUUGUCAAUUUAUCCCUACUUCUUUUUUACUAUUAAUUUGUUUUU